GGGCCCGCACAAGCGGUGGAGCAUGUGGUUUAAUUCGAUGAUACGCGAGGAACCUUACCAGGGCUUAAAUGUAACGGGACAGAUCUAGAGAUAGAUCCUUCUUCGGACUCAUUACAAGGUGCUGCAUGGUUGUCGUCAGCUCGUGCCGUGAGGUGUCAGGUUAAGUCCUAUAACGAGCGCAACCCCCAUCGUUAGUUGCCAACGAGUAAUGUCGGGAACUCUAACGAAACUGCCAGUGCAAACUGUGAGGAAGGUGGGGAUGACGUCAAAUCAUCACGGCCCUUACGUCCUGGGCUACACACGUGCUACAAUGGCCGGUACAGAGAGCAGCCACUUCGCAAGAAGGAGCGAAUCUAUUAAAACCGGUCUCAGUUCGGAUUGGAGUCUGCAACUCGACUCUAUGAAGCUGGAAUCGCUAGUAA
rnacentral:rRNA from 1 species